rnacentral:lncRNA from 1 species
AUUACUCAGAUAUGAAGCACUCAGCUAUUACAUGAAGAUAAUUAUAGACAUUAAUGGAAACCACAUUCAUAUCAAAUAGCAUAGACGUUUAAUAGGGGAUUGGCACUAGAAACUUCAAAUUACAUACACAACAUUGAAGUUACUGGGAUUCACUUAAUUCCUAGUUUUGAAGCCUACACACAAAUGGAAACCUAAGCCGUUCAAUUUCACGGAGCUCCCCCAUUCGGUUUCCCACUAUUUGAUUCUCCUUUUCCCUUGCAAAAAGUAAAUUUCACAAAAAUAUCCACUUCUUUUCUUCGGUUAUUUUAGCAACAUUCUUCAACAAACUUAAUAACUCCAAUUCAUCCAAUGAGCACUUGACUCGCCCUGAAAUUGUCAAAGUUCUUCUUCGUCGAGCCACUUGAAAUGACUGCAGUCGUUCGUACAACAGAAGAAUAGUUGACCUAAGCUUUUAGUCUUCUUUUCAACCUCCAUGCAUUUCUCAAUUCCCUUGCCACAUACCAGGCAUGGUUUCUUCGUGCGACAAUCCGAAAAGUAGUGGCCCAACUUUCUGCAACCAUGAUAAAUCUCCUUGUUCUUUCCUGCCAUUAAAAUAUGC